GGUUGUAGCUCAGUGGAAGAGUGCUUGCCUAGCAUGUGUGAGGCCCUGGGUUCGAUUCUCAGCACCA
rnacentral:tRNA from 1 species